AGUUCACAGUACGGCCAACCCUUCACCCUGAGAGCACAGUACUGCCAACCCAUCACCCUGAGAGCACAGUACGGCCAGCCCUUCACCCUGAGAGCACAGCACAGUCGCACCAUCACCCUGAGAGCACAGUACGGCCAACCCAUCACCCUGAGAGCACAGUACGGCCAACCCUUCACCCUGAGAGCACAGUACGGCCAACCCUUCACCCUGAGAGCACAGUACGGCCAACCCAUCACCCUGAGAGCACAGUACGGCCA